rnacentral:rRNA from 1 species
CGAAAGGUAGGCUAAUACCGCAUACGUCCUGAGGGAGAAAGCGGGGGCUCGCAAGACCUCGUGUUAUAGGAGCGGCCGAUGUCGGAUUAGCUAGUUGGUGGGGUAAAGGCCUACCAAGGCGACGAUCCGUAGCGGGUCUGAGAGGACGGCCCGCCACACUGGGACUGAGACACGGCCCAGACUCCUACGGGAGGCAGCAGUGGGGAAUUUUGGACAAUGGGGGCAACCCUGAUCCAGCCAUGCCGCGUGAGUGAAGAAGGCCUUCGGGUUGUAAAGCUCUUUCGGCCGGGAAGAAAUCGCGCCAGCUAAUACCUGGUGUGGAUGACGGUACCGGAAGAAGAAGCACCGGCUAACUACGUGCCAGCAGCCGCGGUAAUACGUAGGGUCGCGACCGUUAAUCGGAAUUACUGGGCGUAAAGCGUGCGCAGGCGGUUUU